UUGAAAGUGGCAGGCUUGUAACCCAUGAUA
rnacentral:piRNA from 1 species